rnacentral:rRNA from 1 species
AGCCUGAACGCUGGCGGCGUGGCUAAGACAUGCAAGUCGAACGGACGUAGCAAUACGUCAGUGGCGGACGGGUGAGUAAUGAAUCGCUAACGUACCCCGGAGCCAGGGAUAGCUGCCCGAAAGGGCAGGUAAUACCUGAUGAGACCACAAGCAGGCAUCUGCUGGUGCUCAAAGCCGCAAGGCACUCUGGGAGCGGGCGAUUUUGAUCAGCUAGUUGGUGAGGUAAUGGCUCACCAAGGCGACGACGCAUAGCCGGACUGAGAGGUUGGCCGGCCACAUUGGGACUGAGACACUGCCCAGACUCCUACGGGGGGCUGCAGUAACGAAUCUUCCGCAAUGUACGCAAGUAUGACGGAGCGACGCCGCGUGUAGGACGAAGCCCUUGGGGUGUAAACUACUGUCAGGGGAAAGAAGUUCUGAUCUACCCCAGAGGAAGGGACGGCUAACUCUGCGCCAGCAGCCGCGGU